ACGGGUGAGUAACACGUGGGUAACGUUUCCUCGGGCGGGGGAUAACCUUCCGAAAGGAGGGCUAAUACCGCAUAGGACCACGACCUCGCGAGGGGUUGAGGUGAAAGCAGGCCUCUACAUGUAAGCUUGCACCUGAGGACCGGCCCGCGGCCCAUCAGCUAGUUGGCAGGGUAACGGCCUACCAAGGCUAAGACGGGUAGCUGGUCUGAGAGGAUGAUCAGCCACACUGGAACUGAGACACGGUCCAAACUCCUACGGGAGGCAGCAGUGGGGAAUCUUGCGCAAUGGACGAAAGUCUGACGCAGCGACGCCGCGUGGGUGAUGAAGGCCUUCGGGUUGUAAAGCCCUGUGGGGAGAGACGAAUAAGUCGGCGCUAAUACCGACGGCGAUGACGGUAUCUCCUUAGCAAGCACCGGCUAACUCUGUGCCAGUAGCCGCGG
rnacentral:rRNA from 1 species